rnacentral:rRNA from 1 species
GACGAACGCUGGCGGCGUGCUUAACACAUGCAAGUCGAACGGAAAGGCCCUGCUUUUGUGGGGUGCUCGAGUGGCGAACGGGUGAGUAACACGUGAGUAACCUGCCCUUGACUUUGGGAUAACUUCAGGAAACUGGGGCUAAUACCGGAUAGGAGCUCCUGCUGCAUGGUGGGGGUUGGAUAGUUUCGGCGGUUGGGGAUGGACUCGCGGCUUAUCAGCUUGUUGGUGGGGUAGUGGCUUACCAAGGCUUUGACGGGUAGCCGGCCUGAGAGGGUGACCGGCCACAUGGGGACUGAGAUACGGACCAGACUCAUACGGGAGGCAGUAGUCGGGAAUAUUGCACAAUGGGCGGAAGCCUGAUGCAGAAACGCUGCGUGCGGGAUGACGGCCUUCGGGUUGUAAACCGCUUUCGCCUGUGACGAAGCGGGAGUGACGGUAAUGGGUAAAGAAGCACCGGCUAACUACGUG